rnacentral:rRNA from 1 species
UGCCAGACUCCUACGGGAGGCAGCAGUGGGGAAUAUUGCACAAUGGGGGAAACCCUGAUGCAGCGACGCCGCGUGGAGGAAGGAGGUCUUCGGAUUGUAAACUCCUGUCCUUGGGGACGAUAAUGACGGUACCUGAGGAGGAAGCCACGGCUAACUACGUGCCAGCAGCCGCGGUAAUACGUAGGUGGCAAGCGUUGUCCGGAAUUACUGGGUGUAAAGGGAGCGUAGGCGGGACAGCAAGUCCAGUGUGAAAUCUAUCGGCUCAACCGAUAGCUGCGCUGGAAACUGUGGUUCUUGAGUGAAGUAGAGGCAGGCGGAAUUCCUAGUGUAGCGGUGAAAUGCGUAGAUAUUAGGAGGAACACCAGUGGCGAAGGCGGCCUGCUGGACUUUUACUGACGCUGAGGCUCGAAAGUGUGGGUAGCAAACAGGAUUAGAUACCCCUGUA